rnacentral:lncRNA from 1 species
AUGCAUGCUUUUAAAGCUCUUCCUUUGCCAUAUGUGAUGGGUGCCAAAAGGAUGUCCCAGUGGCGCUCAUAAGCUUUGGCAAUUGUAGGCUUGAUGCCAAAAUCAAGACCAACAUAGGAUAUACAAACAGAACACAUAGGCCGGGGUAAAAGAAAACAGAGGGAAGGAAGUGAAGAAGAAGCAAAAAGUUCUAGCCAUAAAGAAAAAUAAGAGUAGUAAGGACGAUAAAUUUUAGAAAUUUGUUUACGGCUUAAGAUGCAAGUCACUGACCUGGCCAAUUGUAAACUCUAGCUUACCAAAUCAACUAGUUGG